UGGGGAUUAGCUCAGUUGGCUAGAGCGCCACGCUGGCAGCGUGGAGGCCAUAAGUUCUCCCGAA
rnacentral:tRNA from 1 species